UAAAAGCUCGCCACUUUGUCACCCAGACAACCAGCUUUCAGAGACCAAGCAGAUUCCCACAACAUCACUUGCAUCACUUGCAUCGCUCUGAACCGAUCUCUCACAGCCAUGAGGACACUGGUGCUGAUUCUGGUGUUGGCCGCAGCCGCCAUGUCGGCUCAUGUUCCGGAAGAACGGGACUUGGACGCAGCUGGUUGGCUUACAGGUUCUCUGGGUCAAGCUGGUCCUUUGUCUUCGGUUACAGGUUCUCUGGGUCAAGCUGGUCCUUUGUCUUCGGUUACAGGUUCUCUGGGUCAAGCGGGUCCUUUGUCUUCGGUUACAGGUUCUCUGGGUCAAGCGGGUCCUUUGUCUUCGGUUACAGGUUCUCUGGGUCAAGCUGGUCCUUUGUCUUCGGUUACAGGUUCUCUGGGUCAAGCUGGUCCUUUGUCUUCGGUUACAGGUUCUCUGGGUCAAGCGGGUCCUUUGUCUUCGGUUACAGGUUCUCUGGGUCAAGCGGGUCCUUUGUCUUCGGUUACAGGUUCUCUGGGUCAAGGUGGUCCUUUGUCUUCGCUUACAGGUUCUCUGGGUGUAGGUUCUUUGACUUCGGUUGCAGGGGGUAUAACUGGUGUUGUGUCUAUCACACCCAUCCUUACUCUCCUCUCCACGGCCUUAAGUCUGGUCACUAGUCUUCUCAACACGCUAGCUGGCGUCACAUCAGCUCUUUCUGUUGUCCUUUCCCUUGUCUCAUUGGCUGUGCGAUUUGCCAUAACCGUAUUGACCAGACUUCAACCGUGCAGCAGUACCCUCGUCAGCGCAUCGACCAGCAUCAUUUCGACCACCACCAUUUCCGCAGUGACGAAUGCUUUGAGUAGUUUCCAAGCAAGUUUGAAUAAUGCGUGUCUUGGUGGACGUUGAACAACGCUUCUUCUGACGACCUUCCUCGAUUGACCGUUAUGAACAAGAUUGACCGCUAUGAACAAGACUGACCGUAUCCCAUGAUGCACUGAAAUACUCUACCAGCCCCAGGGCAGCACACACUCGUGAUGACUGUCCGUUACGGCUUGUGUUAGAGAACAAUAAACAAUAAACAUGGCUCUGUCCUGCA